rnacentral:rRNA from 1 species
AGUGAACGCUGGCGGUAGGCCUAACACAUGCAAGUCGAACGGCAGCACAGUAAGAGCUUGCUCUUACGGUUGGCGAGUGGCGGACGGGUGAGGUAUACAUCGGAAUCUACUUUUUCGUGGGGGUUAACGUAGGGAAACUUACGCUCAUACCGCAUACGACCUACGGGUGAAAGCAGGGGUUCUUCGGACCUUGCGCGUUUGUAUGAGCCGAUGUCGGAUUUGCUAGUUGGCGGGGUAAAGGCCCACCAAGGCGACGAUCCGUAGCUGGUCUGAGAGGAUGAUCAGCCACACUGGAAGUGAGACACGGACCAGACUACUACGGGAGGAAGCAGUGGGGAAUAUUGGACAAUGGGCGCAAGCCUGAUCCAGCCAUACCGCGUGGGUGAAGAAGGCCUUCGGGUUGUAAAGCCCUUUUGUUGGGAAAGAAAAGCAGCAGGUUAAUACCCCGCUGUUCUGACGGUACCCAAAGAAUAAGCACCGGCUAACUUCGUG